rnacentral:rRNA from 1 species
CUUCGGCCUUCUGCGAUUGGAUGUACCUAGGUGGGAUUAGCUAGUUGGUGAGGUAAUGGCUCACCAAGGCGACGAUCCCUAGCUGUUCUGAGAGGAUGAUCAGCCACACUGGGACUGAGACACGGCCCAGACUCUACGGGAGGCAGCAGUGGGGAAUAUUGCACAAUGGGCGCAAGCCUGAUGCAGCCAUGCCGCGUGUGUGAAGAAGGCUUCGGGUUGUAAAGCACUUUCAGCGAGGAGGAAAGCUUAAGCGUUAAUAGCGUUUAGGUGUGACGUUACUCGCAGAAGAAGGACCGGCUAACUUCGUGCCAGCAGCCGCGGUAAUACGAGGGGUCCAAGCGUUAAUCGGAAUUACUGGGCGUAKAGCGUACGCAGGCGGUUUGUUAAGCGAGAUGUGAAAGCCCCGGGCUCAACCUGGGAACUGCAUUUCGAACUGGCAAACUAGAGUCUUGUAGAGNNGGGUAGAAUUUCAGGUGUAGCGGUGAAAUGCGUAGAGAUCUGAAGGAAUACCGGUGGCNNYGGCGGCCCCCUGGACAAAGACUGACGCUCAUGUACGAAAGCGUGGGGAGCAAACAGGAUUAGAUASCCUGGUAGUCCACGCSGUAAACGAUGUCUACUCGGAAUUUCGGUGUCUUGAACACUGGGUUSUCAAGUAA